rnacentral:rRNA from 1 species
GACAGAGGGUGCAAACGUUGUUCGGAAUUACUGGGCGUAGAGCGUGUGUAGGCGGCCAUGUAAGUCGGAUGUGAAAGCCCCGGGCUUAACCCGGGAAGUGCAUUCGAUACUGCGUGGCUUGAGUAUCGGAGAGGUUGGUGGAAUUCUCGGUGUAGAGGUGAAAUUCGUAGAUAUCGAGAGGAACACCGGUGGCGAAGGCGGCCAACUGGACGAAUACUGACGCUGAGACACGAAAGCGUGGGGAGCAAACAGG